rnacentral:rRNA from 1 species
GAUGAACGCUGGCGGCGUGCCUAAUACAUGCAAGUCGAGCGAACAGACGAGGAGCUUGCUCCUCUGACGUUAGCGGCGGACGGGUGAGUAACACGUGGAUAACCUACCUAUAAGACUGGGAUAACUUCGGGAAACCGGAGCUAAUACCGGAUAAUAUAUUGAACCGCAUGGUUCAAUAGUGAAAGACGGUUUUGCUGUCACUUAUAGAUGGAACCGCGCCCCAUUAGCUAGUUGGUAAGGUAACGGCUUACCAAGGCAACGAUGCGUGGCCGACCUGAGAGGGUGAUCGGCCACACUGGAACUGAGACACGGUCCAGACUCCUACGGGAGGCAGCAGUAGGGAAUCUUCCGCAAUGGGCGAAAGCCUGACGGAGCAACGCCGCGUGAAUGAUGAAGGUCUUCGGAUCGUAAAACUCUGUUAUUAGGGAAGAACAAAUGUGUAAGUAACUAUGCACGUCUUGACGGUACCUAAUCAGAGAGCCACGGCUAACUACGUGCCAGCAGCCGCGGUAAGAC